GCCCCCGUGGUGGAACGGGAGACACGGUAGGCUUAGGACCUACUGCUCAUCACCGAGCGUGCAGGUUCAAAUCCUGCCGGGGGCA
rnacentral:tRNA from 1 species